rnacentral:rRNA from 1 species
AAAUUGAAGAGUUUGAUCAUGGCUCAGAUUGAACGCUGGCGGCAGGCCUAACACAUGCAAGUCGAGCGGUAGCACAGAGAGCUUGCUCUCGGGUGACGAGCGGCGGACGGGUGAGUAAUGUCUGGGAAACUGCCUGAUGGAGGGGGAUAACUACUGGAAACGGUAGCUAAUACCGCAUAACGUCGCAAGACCAAAGUGGGGGACCUUCGGGCCUCAUGCCAUCAGAUGUGCCCAGAUGGGAUUAGCUAGUAGGUGGGGUAACGGCUCACCUAGGCGACGAUCCCUAGCUGGUCUGAGAGGAUGACCAGCCACACUGGAACUGAGACACGGUCCAGACUCCUACGGGAGGCAGCAGUGGGGAAUAUUGCACAAUGGGCGCAAGCCUGAUGCAGCCAUGCCGCGUGUGUGAAGAAGGCCUUCGGGUUGUAAAGCACUUUCAGCGGGGAGGAAGGCGUAAGGUUAAUANNNNNNCGAUUGACGUUACCCGCAGAAGAAGCACCGGCUAACUCCGUGCCAGCAGCCGCGGUAAUACGGAGGGUGCAAGCGUUAAUCGGAAUUACUGGGCGUAAAGCGCACGCAGGCGGUCUGUCAAGUCGGAUGUGAAAUCCCCGGGCUCAACCUGGGAACUGCAUUCGAAACUGGCAGGCUAGAGUCUUGUAGAGGGGGGUAGAAUUCCAGGUGUAGCGGUGAAAUGCGUAGAGAUCUGGAGGAAUACCGGUGGCGAAGGCGGCCCCCUGGACAAAGACUGACGCUCAGGUGCGAAAGCGUGGGGAGCAAACAGGAUUAGAUACCCUGGUAGUCCACGCCGUAAACGAUGUCGAUUUGGAGGUUGUGCCCUUGAGGCGUGGCUUCCGGAGCUAACGCGUUAAAUCGACCGCCUGGGGAGUACGGCCGCAAGGUUAAAACUCAAAUGAAUUGACGGGGGCCCGCACAAGCGGUGGAGCAUGUGGUUUAAUUCGAUGCAACGCGAAGAACCUUACCUGGUCUUGACAUCCACAGAACUUUCCAGAGAUGGAUUGGUGCCUUCGGGAACUGUGAGACAGGUGCUGCAUGGCUGUCGUCAGCUCGUGUUGUGAAAUGUUGGGUUAAGUCCCGCAACGAGCGCAACCCUUAUCCUUUGUUGCCAGCGGUNCGGCCGGGAACUCAAAGGAGACUGCCAGUGAUAAACUGGAGGAAGGUGGGGAUGACGUCAAGUCAUCAUGGCCCUUACGACCAGGGCUACACACGUGCUACAAUGGCAUAUACAAAGAGAAGCGACCUCGCGAGAGCAAGCGGACCUCAUAAAGUAUGUCGUAGUCCGGAUUGGAGUCUGCAACUCGACUCCAUGAAGUCGGAAUCGCUAGUAAUCGUAGAUCAGAAUGCUACGGUGAAUACGUUCCCGGGCCUUGUACACACCGCCCGUCACACCAUGGGAGUGGGUUGCAAAAGAAGUAGGUAGCUUAACCUUCGGGAGGGCGCUUACCACUUUGUGAUUCAUGACUGGGGUGAAGUCGUAACAAGGUAACCGUAGGGGAACCUGCGGUUGGAUCACCUCCUUA